GAGAAGUCAGACCAAAGUUUACUUUGCAAAGAUACAAUGCUUUGUCAUAGCCUUUAUCAAAACAUAGCUUGUACGAUGUGUCAAAAUAGAAGUCUUCAAGUGAAACAUUCCUAGAAUGUUCCUCAUAUCUCUCAACACCUUUUUCUUAGGUGCAAUGAUUCUGAUUAAGUCUUUCUGCUUCUUGUGAUAUGCACAAAUAUCAAGAGCAAGGUAUACAAGCAUCCAAACACUUUAUCGUACAUGAAUUAAAUAUUUUGUAUGUUGAUAAGCG
rnacentral:lncRNA from 1 species